UCGAACGAUGAAACUCAUUUGAAUUCUUCGGAAUGAAAAUGAAUGGAUUAGUGGCGAACGGGUGAGUAACGCGUGAGUAACCUGCCUUACACAAGGGGAUAGCCUCUGGAAACGGAGAAUAAUACCCUAUGAAACUAUCAGAGCGCAUGCAUUGGUAGUCAAAGUGCUUAGCGGUGUAAGAUGGACUUGCGUCUGAUUAGCUAGUUGGUGAAUUAACAGCUCACCAAGGCAACGAUCAGUAGCCGGCUUGAGAGAGUGUACGGCCACAUUGGGACUGAGACACGGCCCAGACUCCUACGGGAGGCAGCAGUGGGGAAUUUUGCACAAUGGGGGAAACCCUGAUGCAGCGACGCCGCGUGAUUUAGAAGGCCUUCGGGUUGUACAAAUCUUUUGUAUAGGAAGAAAAUGACAGUACUAUACGAAUAAGGUCCGGCUAAUUACGUGCCAGCAGCCGCGGUAAUACGUAAGGACCGAGCGUUGUCCGGAAUCAUUGGGCGUAAAGGGUACGUAGGCGGGUUUUUAAGUUAGAAGUCAAAGGCUAUAGCUCAACUAUAGUAAGCUUCUAAAACUGGAAACCUUGAGAGAUGGAAGGGAAAGUGGAAUUCCUAGUGUAGCGGUGGAAUGCGCAGAUAUUAGGAGGAAUACCGGUGGCGAAGGCGACUUUCUGGCCAUUUUCUG
rnacentral:rRNA from 2 species